GAGCUUCAGCUAGGCUGCGUACUCAGCCUUUUCCUCAUGGCUUUGAACAUUAAGACUCCCAUGGUGGUUGAGAACAUUACCCUCAGGUGCCUGUGAAUCUUGCAGAAGCUGAUUAAACCACCUGCUCCCACUAGCAAGAAGAACAAGGAUGUCCUUGUCUAGGCCCUCACCACAGUGAAACCAUAUUGCAAUGAGAUCCCUGCCCAGGCUCAACUGUGGCUCAAGAGAGACCCCAAGGCAUCUUAUGAUGCCUGGAAGAAGUAUCUUCCUAUCAAAGAGAUAGAUGGCAGUGGGAAAGCCCACAGCAAAUCAGAGCUCUAUUUGACUGAGAAGUAUGUGUGGAGGUGGAAACAGUUCCUGAGUCGUCAGGGGAAGAGGAUCUUGCCCUUGGAUCUCAAACUGGGGCAUAACAACUGGCUGCGCCAAGUGCUUUUCACUCCAGCAACACAGGCUGCAUGCCAGGCAGCCUGUACCAUUGAGGAAGCUCAAGUCACCAUUCCCAGCCGCAAGCAAAAGUCCUGGAUCUGCUUACCAGUUAUCUGGAUGAGCUGAGCAUAGCUGGGGAGUGUGCAGCCGAGUUCCUGGCUCUCUACCAGAAGCUCAUCACUUCCGUGCACUGUAAAGACUACUUGGCAGCUUGGGGAAUCCUAUGCUAUGUGGGCAACCUCAUCACUAAGGAAAUAGCCCAUCUGCUGGCCCUGGAGGAGGCUAUCCUGAGCACUGAUCCGCAGCAGGGCUAUGCCCUUAAAAGUCUCACAGGCCUUCUCUCCUCCUUUGUUGUGGUGGAAUUCAUCAAAAGACACUUUAAAAGUCGCUUGAUGGAUACUGUGCUGAGUGGAUACCUGUGCUUGUGAAAGCUGGUGAUGCAGAGGACCAAGCUGAUUGAUGAGAUGCAGGACAUACUGCUGGAGAUGCUGGAGGACAUGAGCACAGGUACAGAAUCAGAAACCAAGGCCUUCAUGGCUAUGUGCAUUGAGACAGCCAAGCGCUACAACCUGGAUGACUACUGAAGCCCGGUGUUCAUCUUCAAGAGGCUCUGUAGCAACAUUUAUCCUGAGGAGAAUGAACUUACUGGGUUCUUUGUGACCCUGGAGAAAGAACUCCAGCAAGAAGCCUUCUUACAGGGCAGGUUGCCUGGGAACCCAUACAGCAGCAAUGAGCCAGGCAUCGGGCCACUGAUGAGGGAUAAAAAGAACAAGAUUUGCCAGGACUGUGAUUUGGUGGCCCUCUGGGGAGAUGACAGUGGCAUGGAGCUUCUAGUGAACAGUAAACUCAUUAGUUUGGAACUUCCUGUGGCUAAAGUUACAAGAAAGUCUGGUGUACCAUGAAUGAGCGAGAGCCCAUAAGCACUGUUUAUUGUAUGUGGGGGCUGCUGGUCAAUGCCACGGAGGAAUUCAUCGAGUCCCUGGAUUCUACCACAGAUGAAGAAGAUGAUGAAGAAGUGUACAAAAUAGCUGGUGUGAUGGCUCAGUGUGGGAGCCCAGAAUGCAUGCUUAAGAGACUCAUCAGGAUCAGAGAUUUCAAGCAGGGAUGCCACCUUCUAAUGGUGCUACUGAAAUUGUUCAGUGACUGUGUGAAGGUGAAAGUCAACUGGCAGAAACUGGUCAGACUGGAAAUGAACACCUUGAAUUUCACGCUGGGGACUCUAAACUUGGCCCUUGAACAAGAAAGCAAGGACAGUGGGGGCGCAGCUGUGGCUGAGAAGGUACUUAGCGUCAUGGAGAUCAUUCUCGGUGAGUCCAAUGCUGAGCCCCUGAGUGAGGACAAGGCAAACCUCCUCCUGACAGGUGACAAGGAUCAAUUCAUGAUGCUCUUGGGCCAGAUCAACAGCACCUUCGUCCGCUCCAAUCCCAGCGUGCUCCAGGGCCUGCCUCAUAUCAUCCUGUACCUUUCCUUUGGAGAGGUGGAGAUAAUGCAGAUCUUGGUGGAGCCAUUCAAACCAUACUGCAACUUUGAUAAGUAUGAUGAAGAUCACAGCGGCCAUGAUAAAGUCUUCCUGGACUGCUUCUGUAAAAUAGCUGCUGGCAUCAAGAACAACAGCAAUGGGCACCAGCUGAAGGAUCUGAUUCUCCAGAAGAGGAUCACCCAGAAUGCACCUGACUACAUGAAAAAGCACAUCCCUAGCACCAAGAACUUGGAUGUUGACAUCUGGAAAAAGAUUUUGUCUCUGCCAGCCUUACCUUUUAUCCUGAGGCUGCUUCUGGGCCUAGCCAUAGAGCACCCUGCCAUCCAGGUUCUGAUUGGAACUGACUUCAUCCCAAACCUGCAUAAGCUGGAGCAGGUGUCCAGUGACGAGGGCAUUGGGACCAUGGCAGAGAACCUGCCGGAAGCCCUGCGGGAACACCCUGAUGUAAACAAGAAGAUUGAUGCAGACCGCAGGGAGACCCAAGUGGAGAAGAAGAGCAUGGCCCUGGUGAUGAGGCAGAAGGCUCUGGGCACCCUGGCCAUGAUGACAAAUGAAAAGGACCAGUUCGUAACCAAGAUGGCACUCCUGAAGCAGAUGGAAGAGCUGAUAGAGGAACCCAGCCUCAUGUGCUGCACCUGCAGGGAGGGAUAUAAGUUCCAUCCCAGGAAGGUCCUGGGCAUUUAUACCUUCAUGAAGCGGGUAGUCUCAGAGGAGAUGGAGAAUAAGCCUGAAAGAGCAGGGACACAGCACCGUGUCCCUCUUUACCAUCGUGUACUACGACUACCAUCUGGCUGCUGUCAGGUUGGCCCGAGGCCGGGAAGAGUGGGAAAGUGACGCCCUUCAGAAUGUCAACACCAAGACCAAUGCGCUCCAUCUGGUCUGGGGCCUCACGUCCCUGAAUCAGCUUUUGCCACUUGCUUGGCAGUACACAACACUUACCUCCAGGAAUGUACAGGCCAGCGCGAGCCCACGUAGCAGCUCAACAACAUCAAACUGCUCUUCCUGCAGUUCGCUGUGGAGCAGCCGUUCAGUGCAGACACCUGCGGGGGCGGCCGGGAGAGCAACAUGCACCUGACCCCUACAUCAUUCACACUGUGCUUUACGUCCUGAACACAACCCGAGCAACUCCCGAGAACAGAAGAACCUCCAAGGCUUUCUGGAGCAGCCCAAGGAGAAGUGGGUAGAGAGUGCCUUUGAAGUGGACGGGUCCCACUAUUUAUGUCACAAUCCUGGCCCUUCGCAUCCUGCCCUCCGAGCCGUGGAAAGCCACACGUGUGGAAAUCUUGCGGAGGCUGCUGGUGACCUCUCAGGCCUGGGCAGUGGCUCCAGGUGGAGCCACAAGGCUGACGGAUAAGGCAGCCUUUUCUUCUGGGCCCUCGUCGAUCUCAUUUACAACAUGUUUAAGAAGGUACCUAUCAGUAACAUGGAGGGAGGCUGGUCCUGCUCUUUCGCUGGGGACAUCCGCCACGACAUGCCCAGCUACAAAGCUGCCGACAAAGCCCUGAAAACCUUCCAGGAGGAGUUCAUGCCGGUGGAAACCUUCUCAGAGUUCCUCGACGUAGCUAGUCUUUGAUCAGAAGUCACUGAUCCCGAGAGCCUCCUGAAGGACCCAUUGAACUUAGUCCCCUGACCACCACACAAAAGCUCCAGUGGCGAAGAUGGAAGCGGGCUGGCCUUCCACCCUCUGUUCUCCCUCCUCGUGCGCUGAGUUCCCCUCCGCGGGAUGCUGCAUUGUGACCCCGCCCUCCCCUCUCUCGUUUUUCCUUGGCGUGGCUUGGGGUUUUUAGGCUUCCUGUUUUAUCUCGUGUGUGUGGUGCACUAGCUAUGAAGUCGUAUGUAACCCAAGCCAUCAACUGGCCUGUACAUACCUAGGAGCCAUGAGUUGUCCCGACCAACUUCAUACUUGAGUGUGCACAUCUUGAGGAAUAAGCAAAUGACUUAA